UCAGUCAGUGAAAGGACUUCCUGGUUAGUGACGUGGGAUACCGGUAGAUUGGUGUGCAUGUAGGUGAAACCGCUGGCUCAACAGUGCGGUUGGUAUUUGAUUUGGAAACUCUCAUGCAUUACGUCCAGUGGACCGCAACGCGAGAAACUUGUUGGUGUCAGGUAGGCGAUCAUGCUCAACAUACUAUUACGGCCUCUCUGCUUCGUCACAUAUCUAACGUUGUUGUCUGCUUUAGUUUGCUAUCAGCAGUAGAGUGGUGAGUGCGUUGUCUCUCCUCCUCGUACCUGUAAGUGGAGCAUAGGAUCGCCAGCUUUGAGAUUGGCCUAUAUGCUGGCUAUACUCAUCGGCUGUUCCCACGUCCUAAGAGACUGCUGCUUUGUCUCCUUUUAGUGUUUGUCUUGUCAUUAUUACUUUAGUAAUGUCAUGUCCAAUUAUUAGGAUAUUUGUUUAGUCUGUGAUCUUUCUAGCCACUGGCUCUGGCUGGUGCUAGGACUUUUUUUUUGUUUGUUCCAAUGCAUGCUUGGGCUAUGCAGUGCUGUGUCGCCGUUUCUCUGGCCUAACCUGCAUGCACUUUGUACUUUUAUUUGUUGGUUGUGGGAUAAACCCCGUUCUGCCUGUGUUGCUACUCUGCUUGUUGUGCAUGUGCAUGUUUGUGUGUGUGGGUGUGUGUAUGCAUGCUGGUUUAUAAUCCCAAUGCUGUGACCAGGAUUGCUGUUCUUCCCCGGCUUGGGAUAACCCCCAGUCUGUCUGUGUUGCUACCCUGCUUGCUGUGCAUGUGCAUGUUGGUGUGUGCGUGGGUGUGUAUGCAUGCCAGUUUACAAUCCCAAUGCUGUGACCACGGUGGCUGUCCCAUUUGACCAUUGAUCCGUGCGGAGCUGGAGUACCAAACCUGCUGCUUAAGAUAAGUAGCCAUUUGUAGUACUGCUAGCAUACCUGGCUUGUAAGAUCAACCACUCUGGUAAUUAGUGCUUGUGUCUCCUUUUCCCCUCUGUCAGACAGGAGCAGUGUGGCCCACGUGAGCGGAGGACUGAGUUCGUGGUGGAGGCCUUCACUUUGCCUUGCUGUGUGCACAUUGAGGUGUCUUUUGCUUGGAUUGCAGUGUUUCUCUCACGCAUGGUGUAUUUUCUGGACCCCCCCCCCUCUGUCCUGCAGUAGUCCGGCUCGCUGUGGUAAGCAUCUGCCCUGCUCUAGUUACCCCUCCCCUGAGACCAGGUCACUCGCCCAAUAGCAAGGUGCUAGUCAACCCCAUAGCUACAGUGCUUAUAUAGUAGCCCCCUGGUCACUGUGUCGGUGGGACCUCUCAGUCAGAGUGUCAAUUGUAUGGUCACGUUUUACUGUGCAACUGUAAUAAUUAAUGUGUCUUGUUGGAAUAAAUAUUGUUGAUGCAA